CUCUACGCCAGGCAGUGGCUGCUCGAGGAGUGUAUGAUGAAACCGAUGUGCAUCGAUGGUGGAGAGAUUGGAUCUACCAGCGCACAUGAGCACUGAUCGGAUGAGAAGGGGGCGUCACAGAGUCUGUCGCACAGAAGUAAACAAGAGGAACUCAAACUGUCAUUUACAUAUUUUCGCACUUGAGAAUCUUUGAGUAAUCGCAGCCGCAUAUAAACUGCCUACACCUCAAUCCUUCAUUCCUAAUGACACCUUAUGCAAAAGAACAAGUAAUGUUUCAGAGAGACGUCACGCCAUCUGGUCUUCCCUGGCAGAUGGAAAGCAUAUCUGAACUCUACUGUUCUUAAAUCUAAACAUGUUACUAUUUUCAACAAUCGCUAUAUUUUCCUACUGAUUGGAUCCAACCCUUACUGCAGAUGAUUUAGAGAAUAAGCAGUAGCUGACAGAAAUGGUCAAUGUGGGCUGCUCUACACUUCAGCCUUUGCUUACAUCCUGUUUACCGUGCACAGUCAGUGAAUAUGGAGACUGAAGAGGCUUCGGACAUUAUACAACAUGGAAUAAUUCCACAUGGAAGUAGGAAGCAUACAUUUAUAAACCUGGUAUUUUUGUUUGAUGAUUUCUCUUUUUGGAUCAUAGUAAUAGGCAUCAAAAACUACAGUUAGGACGCCAGUGCUUUUGUACACUACAAUGCCUAGUAUAUGAAUUGGCUAGUUGUAAAGUGGCAUCUUAGAAUCAAUAGUAACGUUAUACCUGCGAAAAACCGAAGGAAAACUGAAGGCAAACAAACAACAAACCAACAUUGCUACAGAAGGACUGCGUUACAACCACAAAGCUCAGAUUUAUGACCUCUCCUCACCGUGACCUCUCCUCACCGUUGCAAUGAGAACUCGAGGACCAGGCUUACCACCCUUAAUGUUUUCUUACCAUGUGUGUUACUUUUCUCUCUUCCACCCCACUCUGUGCUAUUCCUGUAAUAUGUACUUCCACUGUCUGCACACCCUGCCAGUGUGACCUAUAUGGUGGCCUCAGAUGGUUCCUCCUCUGGCAGGAUGUUCUUCAUCUGGAUCUUUACAUACAUGGUAUAUCAUACUCUUACUACUACUACUACUACUACUACUACUACACAAGUGUCAGUUUUCCCAUGUAUGCAUUGGGCCCUUGUAUGGCUCACCUUCCACAGUGUAACCUCCAUAGAGCGCUCAACAUGGCUGCCUCAUCUGGUACGCUUGUGGAUGGGAUGAAAAAUACAUGGAGCUGUGGUUUUGUUGGGACCCUACUCUGAGCAUUAAGACAUUACAAUCACCCCAUUUUGUGUCAUCUCUCCUGUGGGUAGACUAUUCUACCCAGGGUAAUCCUCCACAGUGCGCCGAAGAUGGCUGCGUCAGCUGGUACCUUAUGAGAGUGGAAUACACAACCCGCGAAGUUAUUACCCAAAAUGCCUACACCAAUGCUGCAUUACACUUACUGUGUGCUCAAGGUUUUCUUUUAUGUCUGUGUGACUUGCCUAUUGCUGUAUUACUUAAAUAUUCUGUAUUAUGUGCAUUGUUUUUGAUGUCUGUAAAGUGCCUUGAGUCCUUUUGGAGAAAA